GGGGAUUUAGCUCAGUGGUAGAGCGCUUCCCUAGGAAGCGCAAGGCCCUGGGUUCGAUCCCCAGCUCCG
rfam:Rattus norvegicus chromosome 3, whole genome shotgun sequence.